rnacentral:rRNA from 1 species
UACGUAGGUGGCAAGCGUUGUCCGGAUUUACUGGGCGUAAAGGGCGUGCAGGCGGUCUGUUAAGUGCAGGGUGAAAGCUCCCGGCUCAACUGGGAGAGGUCCUUGCAUACUGGCGGACUUGAGGGGGGUAGAGGAAAGUGGAAUUCCAGGUGUAGCGGUGAAAUGCGUAGAUAUCUGGAGGAACAUCGGUGGCGAAGGCGGCAUCCUGGACCGGUAUUGACGCUGAGGCGCGAAAGCCAGGGGAGCAAACGGG